UGCUCGGUGGCACAAUGGUACUGCGUUCGACUGUUAAUCGAAAGUGUGUUGGUUCGAUUCCAACCCGAGCAG
rfam:Lactobacillus siliginis strain DSM 22696 Scaffold1, whole genome shotgun sequence.